GCUGAAACACACAUUUCGACACAAGAACAAAGACCAUGGUUGUAGCUUUCUUUACAUUGUUUGUAAAGAGAUUUUAAUGGCAAAUUAUUUCACAGAAGUGGGGCUUUGCCCUGAAUGAGAAUGUACCUGUUAAGUUCAACUUCAAGGAGUCCCAGUUUUGGCAGGACAAAAAACAUGCAUGCGCAAGUUUCACAAAGCUACGAUAGAUUUAAGCAUUUGUGCAAUUUGUCAACAGACCUCCAGGUCUAAGUUAAGCUGGAAUCUAAUUCACUGACUAACUGAUUGUUAUAUUUAUUGAUGAAAUGCAGGACAGUUAGUCAACCAACGAUUUCACACAUUCUGAACAGGUCUCCUAACAAUGUCCCGAUGCAACCGAUAAGCAAGUGACAAGCCAGGGAAACACCUUGGUGUACAGAUGGGGUCUCAUCCAACUUGGUGUACCAAAGACCUGAGAAUGAAAAAAAGUAUUGCUUUAGCGGCUGAAACAAUGUAUCAUAUUUAGACAUUGAAGGUGACAUUCUGAUCUCAGUCCCAUAUCCGCAUGUUUCAUCCAACAGUCACAUUUUAAAGGUAUCGAUCAUUGAUCAGAAAAGGCUGAUAAUGAUGCGUUGCCCCUUGGGCUUAAGACAUACCUUAUUAAAACCCUGGAAUAGGGCCAUAUAACCAUGGAAGUGUAGUUGGUCAGUGCCGGUCACAUACCCAGAGCCAGUUGCCAAGAACUGCAAAUGAAAGUUGAUACAUAUUACAGUGAGGGACUGGCUUUGAGCCAAGUCCAAUAUCAGCACGAGCCAUAAGCAGUAUCAUUUGAUCAAAGCAACAUGCCCGUCAGAAUAUCCAGAAAACACAGAUUGGCACACCUGUACCUCCAUACCUGCAAAGAGACAUUAGAGAAACUCAACAGUGCACAAGUUUCAGUAGCCACCUAAAAGCAGGAUUGUGAAACUAGGCAACAUGUAAAGUCAAUAUUUAAUCUGUAUGACAGUAGAGUGACUAACUCAGGCACAGAUUGGCCAGGACAGUCAAAGACUCCCUAUUUAUCUGGCAUACACUUGGAGAACCAGAGGCUACAGGCAAAGCCCGGGUCCUUAGGAUAGCAUGCCGCCAUGGGGACCAGACAUUUAACACAAGGGGCUUACCAGCCAUUCAAUCCCACGCUGAUGGGGUCAUCACACCUCCAAUAGGCACAACUGAUGAGAAACAAAGUUAGUGAAGCUCUGCUCAAGUCGGUGCCAAAGCUUUGAGGUUGUUUACAGCAAAACACAUUAGUCAAUAGACAUGGCUCAGAAGUUGAGUACUAAGGUGUUCUCAUUGUCGAGGCACUCCUCAGUGAGGGCAAGUGUCAUUACAGCCAGAAUGAAAGGGGAACAUUUUGAAUUACCUUUAGAAUGUCCCGUGGUUAAUUUUCAAUCCCACUGGUCUGUGCAAAGGUUGUACACCUGUAGAAAGCAUUGACAAUUAGUCAAGGUAAAAGCUACACAUUAUCAGCAGUCAAAACCCAUAUAACAUACAAUGCAAAGUCUUGGCUCAGACAAGUACAAUAAAGUUCAUCAGCGAGGUAUCAUAAGUGAGGGCUAGUCACAGGCCACAAACACAUUGCUAGGCACCUGAAUUACCUCCCAUCAGAAUGCCCACCACUUCAUUCUCAUCCAGGCCUUUGAAGUCCCUGCAGAUUGACAUUGUAAUCCUGUAUAGAGAAUUAGAAAUUUACAAUGAGGCAAAAACAGUAAACAGCUAAAUCCUACAUUAACUUGAAUUUAGUCAACACCAAAUCUUGGCUCAGACGAGUACUAAGAGGUUCUCAGCAUAGAGGCACUCCUCUAAGUGAGGGCAAGUGUGUCAUCACAGCCAGAAUGAGGGUCGAUGGGUGAAUCUUGAAAUCAACGAGAAUUAAUGUACCUUCUGCAUAACCAUUUGUUCAUCAUCCACGUCUAGGGUUUGUUCAGAAGAUAACGGGCCUAUAGAGCAUAGGGAAGCAAGCCAAUUAGAAGUCUCAUCUUACGCCAUCUUGACCAACACUUUCUAGGAACUGUACAUGGAAUGUCCUUCCCCUUAAUGUUGCGGUGUCAGUUAUUGUCGAACUGCACAGCGACCGUCGGUGAAAGUAAUGUUUUUGGCAUCCUGUUGACCGAGUCUGCUACAAAUGAGCAGGAACGGCUUCGAUAGGUGCCUGUGUUUAUAGAGUGGUUGAACAGAUUCCAGCUCUGUGAUUAGCCAUAUUGGCCGAGUAGGGUUGAUCGUAUGACUUGAAGUCUACCUAAAAAUAAAACGUAAAAAACCUCGGUACGCUCAGUAACAUUAAGCCUACCGUUAACAUGCGGUGUAGACUUACGCUGUACAAAAUGGAAUACAGCAAGAAUAACUACAAUAAAACGGCCAAUACUCACCAAAAAAAAGUUACUGAAUUUACAACGUACAUAUAUAUUCAAAUAUUUGCUGUUGAAGAUUCCGCCGGAAGUGAGGAAUCUGCAGUGUUAAGGGCCGCGUGCAGUAGUGCCACGUGGAAACUAACAUAGUCAACUAACAAUAAAAACGUCUCGAGUAGGUACAUUUGCCUGAAAUAGCACAGCUUUACGAUUAACAUAUGCUUCACCACAAGGUUGACAAAUACAUAGUUAAACUUAGCCAGCUAGCUAUAUAAGCAACUAGGUCACAAGAAAGUGCAGGUCCCGCCGGAAGUUAACUAGUUAGCCUAGCUAGGUACCAGUAGCAAAAUGUCAGAAACUGCUUUCUAACAUUCACGUGGCUACGCGCUUCUCUCAAAACAUGUGAUAUUAGCAAAUAAAACAUACUUCACUCAUUUAUAUAAACUACUUCACUCAUUUAUAUAAACAGACAGGCCGAGUGAUGAUUCGUUCGAGUGUAACUUACCAUAGCUGUUACUUAGCU
ensembl:lncRNA